UUUUAUUAGCUCACGCAUUCUCUCUCUCUCUCUUCUCCUUCUCUCUCUUUUCUCUCCAUCGACAUCUCACACAAACACACGAGCACUACCACCUACCACCACCAGCCACUGCCCCUCCGAUGAUGUUAGUUACAUGAGCACCAAUCGAUUGAUUCCGAGCUUGGCGUUUGAUUCUAAUUCCGAGCUUGGAAUUUGAUUAUGAUUCUGAGCCCCUUCCACAGAUUUGAUUUCUUUGGGAGAAGAGAUGUCUGAAUUCUGAACUUUGGCAUGCAUGUGCAGGUCCUCUUGUUUCCCUACCUGCUGUUGGAAGCCGCGUGGUGUAUUUCUCUCAGGGCCAUAGUGAGCAGGUUACUGCAUCAACCAACAAAGAAGUGGAUGCCCAUAUACCUAACCACCCAAGCUUAUCUCCACAACUCAUUUGUCAGCUUCACAAUGUGACCAUGCAUGCGGAUGUGGAGACAGAUGAGGUAUAUGCUCAGAUGACCUUGUAACCACUGAGCUCGGUAUGCUAAUUUAUUAUUUAAGUUUAUUUACCAGUUUUAUAAUCUACUUUUUUCUUUUCUUUUCCCUAGAUAUACGAUGAUCCAUAUUGUAGGUAAUCUUUUGAUCAAACUCUUCUACCUUCUACACACAAAUGGAGUGAAAACUCCUGGAUAUGUACUUUAUUGAGUGAAUAAUGGUGAAUGAUGUGAAUGCCCAUUUUCUUAUUAACAGUUGACCUUGAAAUUGUCAACUAGCAAGAUGAGUGGAGAGGUGCUUUAUUUCUCAUUUAACAUAAAAUUGAAUUUAUAACCAA